rnacentral:tRNA from 1 species
GGGAGUGUAGCUCAAUGGUAGAGCAUGUGUUUACAAUGAACAAAGUUCUGGUUUCAAUCCCCAGCACCA